rnacentral:rRNA from 1 species
CCUACGGGAGGCAGCAGUGAGGAAUAUUGGUCAAUGGACGAGCGUCUGAACCAGCCAAGUAGCGUGAAGGAUGACUGCCCUAUGGGUUGGAAACUUCUUUUAUAAAGGAAUAAAACGAGGCACGUGUGCCUUUUUGCAUGUACUUUAUGAAUAAGGAUCGGGUAACUCGGUGCCAGCAGCCGCGGUAAUACGGCAGAUCCGAGCGUUAACCGGAUUUAUGUGGUUUAAAGGGAGCGGAGCUGGGUUGUUAAGUCAGUUGUGAAAGUUUGCGGCUCAACCGUAAGAUUGCAAUGGAAACUAGCAGUCUUGAGUACAGUUGAGGUAGGCGGAAUUCGUGGUGUAGCGGUGAAAUGCUUAGAUAUCACGAAGAACCCCGAUUGCGAAGGCAGCUUACUAAACUGUGACUGACGUUGAUGCUCGAAAGUGUGGGUAUCAAACAGGAUUAGAUACCCUGGUAGUC